rnacentral:rRNA from 1 species
UACAGAGGGUGUGAGCGUUAAUCGGAAUUACUGGGCGUAAAGCGUGCGUAGACGGUUAUUUAAGUCGGGUGUGAAAGCCCCGGGCUCAACCUGGGAAUUGCAUUCGAGACUGAAUAGCUAGGGUACAGUAGAGGGAAGCGGAAUUUCCGGUGUAGCGGUGAAAUGCGUAGAUAUCGGAAGGAACAUCAGUGGCGAAAGCGGCUUCCUGGACCAGUACCGACGUUCAGGCACGAAAGCGUGGGGAGCAAACAGG